ACCCCACCCUAAUCUUGUUAUGCAAAUAGGCUUCCCACUUGGCAGGGGCCGUCUUGUCCACUCGUUUCUGUAAACAUGGGUGGCAAAAAGAGAAGAUGGAGCUGCCAUUUAGAACAUGCCUAAUCCCAGCUUCAUCUUGCUGAGCAAAAAUGAAGGAGCCUGGACCCAACUUUGUUACUGUGAGAAAGGGUCUUCAUUCAUUCAAGAUGGCAUUUGUUAAGCACCUACUGUGAGUAGAUGAUCUCCUGUCAAAGACAGUUAACAAAUCCUCGGAAUAUUGCUUCAUGUACAGUUAUUGGAGGCUGGAGUGCAGUGGUUCAAUCACGGAUCACUGCAGCCUCCACCUCCCAGUUCAAGAAAUUCUCAUGUCUCAGCCUCCUGAGCAGCUAGGAUUACAGACAAACCUUGGAAAUCAAGAAAGUUCUGGAAUGAUGAAGCUGUUCAUGCCAAGACCGAAAGUGCUGGCCCAGUAUGAGUCCAUUCAGUUCAUGCCGUGACAAUUUUCUUGGAACUCCUUUUUAUUGUUAGUUCUCACUUGUUUCCAUAUUUAGUGAAUGUACAUUUAAUUGCAAAGCUGUCAUUAAUAAAAAUUCUUAUAGUACCUCA
rnacentral:lncRNA from 10 species